rnacentral:rRNA from 1 species
UACGGAGAGUGCAAGCAUUAAUCGGAAUUACUGGGCGUAAAGGGCUCGUAGGCGGCCAACUAAGUCAGACGUGAAAUCCCUCGGCUUAACCGGGGAACUGCAUCUGAUACUGGAUGGCUUGAGAUUGGGAGAGGGAUGCGGAAUUCCAGGUGUAGCGGUGAAAUGCGUAGAUAUCUGGAGGAACACCGGUGGCGAAGGCGGCAUCCUGGACCAACACUGACGCUGAGGAGCGAAAGCCAGGGGAGCAAACGGG